GGGCCCGUAGCUCAGUAUGGAUAGGCCGAUGAAGAAUAUUAUCAUCUGGUUCAAAGCACCGGCCCUCUAAGCCGGGGGUCGAGGGUUCGAAUCCCUCCGGGCCCG
rnacentral:tRNA from 1 species